rnacentral:rRNA from 1 species
GCAAGUCGAACGGUAACAGGCUCAGCUUGCUGAGUGCUGACGAGUGGCGGACGGGUGAGUAACGCGUGGGAACAUACCUGUUAGUUGGGGACAACCUGUGGAAACGCAGGCUAAUACCGAAUAUAUUCUACGGAAUAAAGGUGGCCUCUAUAUCUAGGCUAUCGCUAACAGAUUGGCCUGCGUUGGAUUAGCUAGUUGGUGGGGUAAAGGCCCACCAAGGCGACGAUCCAUAGCUGGUUUGAGAGGAUGAGC